rnacentral:lncRNA from 1 species
GUUUACUCAUCCCUAACAAUAGAGAAAUUAGUUACUCAUGAUGGUUACAGAGAAUCAAGAGAAUUGUAAGAAUUACACAUAAAGAUCAUUGUGAGAAGCUUCAACUUAAGCGAUUGUUGUUGAACAACAUUUUCUCUCAAAUCCUAACAAAGUGUUUCUCUCAAUUUCAAUGUAAAAAUCUCCGAACCCUUGCAAAUUAAAUAUGACUUUUUUUUUGCUUAUAUAGACAUGAAAAACACAGGUUCUGCGGCUGGGCAUGGCAAGUGGAAAUCAGAGCUACACUUGGACGAGAUAGAGUGAACAGAGCUGCGCCUAGCUGUGCAGGAUGGCACUUGGGCGUGGCAGUGCUGAGUUGAUUUUUCAAAAUUUGCUUACUUGAAUCACUAACUCCCAAAUUUGACUAUCCAAAACUUC